ensembl:lncRNA
GUACGUUUUUUGAAAGCCUACUCCUUCAAAACCGUUCAACUUAGAAAAACCAUUCAAACAUCGUUAGAUUCCUAUUAUUUUGGACAACAUUGCUUCUAUUUUUCUCAUUUUUAACAUUUAUAUUUUUAAUUUUAUUCAACUUUAUUCAACAAAAAUUUCCCAUGUAUUUCAAUGGGGAGACCCUUCAAAUUCUCAUUCAACUUACUCAUUUUUAAACUCUUACUACUUCCACAUACAUUGACAUAGAGCCACCAUUCAAACUUUAAAACGAAGACAAGACAUUCAACUAUUCAACUUGUAUUUAUCUUUUCAAUAUCUAUUAUACUUUUUCUUCAGUUCCAGUUUAAGUUUCAUGAUGUUUUUUCACCCGUUUCAAAAUUUAUAAUGGGUGUGUAUGGGACGGAAUGUUGGGGCUAGAGUGAGACAGCUCAACUGCUAGAGUGAGAGGAGCAAAAAAAUUAAUCUUAAAAUCUUUUUUAAAACUGCUGCUGUGUCCGCAGCGUUUGCUCUACAGGUAUGAUUUUACCCUCAAAAUGUAGCCAUCGCUGUCCUCUUUCAUCCAAUGUGUUUACUAUUGUACUAGGUGUUAUGGUUCUUUCAUAAAUGUCACCAAUGCACAGCCUCCUCCCUCCAACUCUUCCAUAGACUCUAAUGUUAAAAUGGCUCAGAAGGUUCGUUUGAAAAUCAGAAGAGCAUGGUGUCUUUCCACUGUCACCACGUCCAUAUAAUAAGCUCCACAGGCAUGAAAACUGAGAAUUAGGUAGACUAGACAUUGCUGUCGCUCACGGUGAAAGAAUUUUGUCAAUACGACUUUUACUUUUCAUUUGGGAGCGAUUUGUUUCGGCCUGACUUUUCUGUUCAUUUUAAGCAGCAAAAGUGAGGCGCAUGUCUGUGUACGUGUGUAUGGAGCCAUUGGGUGCGGUCACUAUAGCAACCAGGCUCACACCUGCCUGCUUAGCGAGCUCUGCCUGCCACUGUACCAAGAUUCAUCUUAAACACUUCUCUUUCAACUGCUGCUGUGUCCACAGUGUUACAGCCAUCAUUUUACCCUCAAAUUGUCGCCAUUAUUGUUCUCUUUCCAACACCGUAUCUUUCAAAGCUCAGGCAUUUAAACUUUUUAAACUGUGUGGAUCAAAGUGGAGGGAUCACAUUUGAGUCAUUCAGUGAUUCAAAGAAUAUGACCUUUUAAUAUUCAUUCAGAUGUUUUCUGACUCUAAAUGUUCUUUUCUCAUUUCUUAGGGUUUUCUAAUUUACAUUUAAAACAUUUUCAGUUUUUUUCCAACUCCUUCUUCUGUGUAACCUUCAGCUUUUAGCAGUUCAGCACCUUUGUUUUCAGGUUAAAUUUGGUUGUUUUUUUUUUGUUUUUUUUUUUAAUUUCAUUCAAUAUUUUUAACUCAAAAUUCAGCAAUUAAUUCAUUUCAGUGCAUACAUUCAGAUUCAAGCAUUCACACUGCAGUUUCUUCAGAAAAUGCACUUUCUAGUUAUUAUUAUCUAUUCCGUACGUUUUUUGAAAGCCAACUCCUUCAAAACCGUUCAACUUAGAAAAACCAUUCAAACACCGUUAGAUUCCUAUUCUUUUGGACAACAUUGCUUCUAUUUUUCUCAUUUUUAACAUUUAUAUUUUUAAUUUUAUUCAACUUUUUUCAACAAAAAUUUAUAAUGUAUUUCAAUGGGGAGACCCUUCAAAUUCUCAUUCAACUUCAUCCUCUUUAAACUGUAUCUACUUCCACAUACAUUGACAUAGAGCCACCAUUCAAACUUUAAAACGAAGACAAGACAUUCAACUAUUCAACUUGUAUUUAUCUUUUCAAUAUCUAUUAUACUUUUUCUUCAGUUCCAGUUUAAGUUUCAUGAUGUUUUUUCAGCCGUUUCAGAGUUUAUAAUGGGUGUGUAUGGGACGGAAUGUUGGGGCUAGAGUGAGGCAGCUCAACUGCUAGAGUGAGAGGAGCAAAAAAAUUAAUCUUAAAAUCUUUUUUAAAACUGCUGCUGUGUCCGCAGCGUUUGCUCUACAGGUAUGAUUU